rnacentral:lncRNA from 1 species
ACAAUGCUUAGUGGCGGAUCCAGGUACUGCCCUAGCUGGAUCCGCCGGAAUGUUCAUUAUUGCAGUCAUUUGCAAGCUUGUCCGUUGGUCCGUCGGGAAGAAACUCGGCAAGCAGAGCUGCAGCGCGAAGAUGAAGAAGCUGCUGGGAUAUUGGGCCUACUCCCCCCCAUUUUGGGCCUUUUUUAAAAAAUAUAAGCACAAAUCCAAUGGCCCAAUACCUUGAAAUUAAUGGACGGCUGGAGUGGAUAUAUUUCCAUUGCAUUCACCAAUUUGAAGAGUCCAAACUCCAAAAUUGAAACCAAUUAACCAAAGGCUGAAUGGAACUGCUGAAGGCUAAGGGCGAUUGCAAAGAUAGUGGAUUGGUGCCUGACAGAGUGGUGCGAGUUGAGUGGAUGGUGAGUCAGUGAGCCGUGAGUGACGAGGAGGUGGACGAUGGAGUGGUGCGAUCGUACGAGUUGAGUGGACGCCAAUGGCUGCGAGUGCAACUUCUUGCCUUGGUGAGCUAUUCUGGCUUUUAUUUUAUUUUUUUCUUUUUGAUUUUGAUGAUGUAAUUUGAUUGUUAUGUUAAAUAUGAUGGUUAUGAUUUAUGAAAAUUGGGGAAUUUGUAAAUUUUGUAAAUAUGUGAAUUGGGAAUUUUAUGAUUUGUGAGAAAUGUUCGAUUUGUGUUGGAAAUUAGAAGUUGGAAAUUGAUGAUAGCUUAAGUCUUUAAGAUUAAGUUUAAUUUUCAUACAGAUUAUGUUAAGUGGAAAAAUUAUUGCCGAUCUUGAUUCUUGAGGUUAAUUGACACUUUUGUCUUCAUUUUGGUUUUUUUUGGCAUUGAGGUGAGGUUCCUGUAUGAUGAAUAAAUGAAAAUUGUGAUUUAUGAUAAAUAAUUUAUGUUGUAUGAGUUAUGGGUUAUAAUUUAUCAUUAGUAAUAUUUGAUUUGUGAUUUGGAAUUUAGGUUUAGGAAAUUAUAAGAUCCCGUAGAAUGCUGUCG